GUGUGCACAUGCUCACAAGCGUGCAUCCAUGUAAAUGCAAACUCAGAAGAGGGUGUUGAUCCCCUAGAGCUGGAGUCACAGAUAAGUGUGAACCACCUAAUAUGGGUCCUGGGAACACAGCUUGCUUAGGCUCUCAGAAUGAGGGGCACGUGCUCUUACCCUCCUGAUCGGGCAGACAAGACAAAAAGCACCUCCUCUGAUUACAGCCCUGUUUGAGUUCCUGUCCUGACUUCCUUCAGUGAUGAACAGCAACGCUGACGUGUGAAUGGACAAAAGGGUGCUACCCACAUGCAACAGAGAACUAUUCAACACUUGGAAGUCCUGGCAACGUGAGUGAACCUGUCCGUGGAGGAAGCCAGGGUCAGAAGUGCUGCACGGUUUCAUUUAUAUGUGGACAACAGCAGAGUGGAACUCGUAACGGGGAAGUAAAUGGUGGUUUCCAGGACCUGGGGCUUGGUGCAGUGGGGAGAUGCAGGUCAAGAGGUGUGAGCUUUCAGACGUUGUGUUUGUAUAGUGUGUGGAGAUGGAUAGCUGAGAUUGAGGUAAUAAAGAGCUGAACGUCCAGUAGCCAGGCAGGAGAGAAUAGGUGGGACUUCCGGGGAGAGAGACGGCUGUGGGAAGAGGAGAGCUGGGGAGACACCAUCAAGAUGUAGGGGAAAUAGGACAGGCAGUAUGGAGAUGAGGAAUCGAGCCACAUGGCAGAACGGAGAUGAAAAAAUACAGGUUAAGGUAUAAGAGCUAGUUGGAAACAAACGUAGGCUAAAAGCCAAGCUUUCAUAAUUAAUAAUAAGUCUCCAUGUCAUUAUUUGCAGGCUGGUAGUCCCGGUGAGAAAGUACUACUAUGUUCAGUUAUAAGAUGAAUCGAUUCUGGAGAUCCAACGUGUAACCCCAUGAAUGGCACACAGUGGGAAGGUGCUAAGA